rnacentral:rRNA from 1 species
CGGAGGGUGCAAGCGUUAUCCGGAAUCAUUGGGUUUAAAGGGUCCGCAGGCGGAUUUAUAAGUCAGUGGUGAAAGCCUACAGCUCAACUGUAGAACUGCCAUUGAUACUGUAAGUCUUGAAUUUGGUCAAAGUGGGCGGAAUAUGACAUGUAGCGGUGAAAUGCUUAGAUAUGUCAUAGAACACCGAUAGCGAAGGCAGCUCACUAGGCCAGUAUUGACGCUCAUGGACGAAAGCGUGGGGAGCAAACAGGAUUAGAUACCCUGGUAGUCCACGCCGUAAACUAUCAAUACUCGUUUUCAGCGAUAUACAGUUGGAGACUAAGCGAAAGUGAUAAGUAUUGCACCUGGGGAGUACGAUCGCAAGGUUG